UUAAGCGACUAAGCGUACACGGUGGAUGCCCUGGCAGUCAGAGGCGAUGAAGGACGUGCUAAUCUGCGAAAAGCGUCGGUAAGGUGAUAUGAACCGUUAUAACCGGGCGAUGUCCGAAUGGGGAAACCCAGUGCAAUUCGUUGCACUAUCGUUAACUGAAUACAUAGGUUAACGAGGCGAACCGGGGGAACUGAAACAUCUAAGUACCCCGGAGGAAAAGAAAUCAACCGAGAUUCCCCAGUAGCGGCGAGCGAACGGGGAGCAGCCCAGAGUCUGAAUCAGCUUGUGUGUUUAGUGGAACGGUCUGGAAAGUCCGACGGUACAGGGUGAUAGUCCCGUUACACCAAAAUGCACAGGCUGUGAACUCGAAGAGUAGGGCGGGGACACGUGGUAUCCUGUCUGAAUAUGGGGGGACCAUCCUCCAAGGCUAAAUACUCCUGAACUGACCGAUAGUGAACCAGUACCGUGAGGGAAAGGCGAAAAGAACCCCGGCGAGGGGAGUGAAAAAGAACCUGAAAACGUGUACGUACAAGCAGUGGGAGCACCUUCGGGUGUGACUGCGUACCUUUUGUAUAAUGGGUCAGCGACUUAUAUUUCUGUAGCAAGGUUAACCGUAUAGGGGAGCCGCAGGGAAACCGAGUCUUAACUGGGGCGUUAAGUUGCAGGGUAUAGACCCGAAACCCGGUGAUCUAGCCAUGGGCAGGUUGAAGGUUGGGUAACCACUAACUGGAGGACCGAACCGACUAAUGUUGAAAAAUUAGCGGAUGACUUGUGGCUGGGGGUGAAAGGCCAAUCAAACCGGGAGAUAGCUGGUUUCUCCCCGAAAGCUAUUUAGGUAGCGCCUCGUGAAUUCAUCUUCGGGGGUAGAGCCACUGUUUCGGCUAGGGGGUCAUCCCGACUUACCAACCGAUGCAAACUACGAAUACCGGAAGAAUGUUAUCACGGGAGACACACGGCGGGUGCUAACGUCCGUCGUGAAGAGGGAAACAACCCAGACCGCCAGCUAAGGUCCCAAAGUCAUGGUUAAGUGGGAAACGAUGUGGGAAGGCACAGACAGCCAGGAUGUUGGCUUAGAAGCAGCCAUCAUUUAAAGAAAGCGUAAUAGCUCACUGGUCGAGUCGGCCUGCGCGGAAAGAUGUAACGGGGCUUAAACCAUGCACCGAAGCUGCGGCAGCGGACACUAUGUGUUGUUGGGUAGGGGAGCGUUCUGUAAGCCUGCGAAGGUGACCUGUGAGGGUUGCUGGAGGUAUCAGAAGUGCGAAUGCUGACAUAAGUAACGAUAAAGCGGGUGAAAAGCCCGCUCGCCGGAAGACCAAGGUUCCUGUCCAACGUUAAUCGGGGGCAGGGUGAGUCGACCCCUAAGGCGAGGCCGAAAGGGCGUAGUCGAUGGGAAACAGGUUAAUAUUCCUGUACUUGGUGUUACUGCGAAGGGGGGACGGAGAAGGCUUAUGUUAGCCGGGCGACGGUUGUCCCGGUUUAAGCAUGUAGGCUGGUUAUCCAGGCAAAUCCGGAUAAUCAAGGCUGAGGUGUGAUGACGAGGCACUACGGUGCUGAAGUAACAAAUGCCCUGCUUCCAGGAAAAGCCUCUAAGCAUCAGGUAACAUCAAAUCGUACCCCAAACCGACACAGGUGGUCAGGUAGAGAAUACCAAGGCGCUUGAGAGAACUCGGGUGAAGGAACUAGGCAAAAUGGUGCGUAACUUCGGGAGAAGGCACGCUGGUGUGUAGGUGAAAGCCCCUGCGGGUGGAGCUGAGGACCAGUCGAAGAUACAGCUGGCUGCAACUGUUUAUUAAAAACACAGCACUGUGCAAACACGAAAGUGGACGUAUACGGUGUGACGCCUGCCCGGUGCCGGAAGGUUAAUUGAUGGGGUUAUCCGUAAGGAGAAGCUCUUGAUCGAAAGCCCCGGUAAACGGCGGCCGUAACUAUAACGGUCCUAAGGUAGCGAAAUUCCUUGUCGGGUAAGUUUCCCGACCUGCACGAAUGGCGUAAUGAUGGCCAGGCUGUCUCCACCCGAGACUCAGUGAAAUUGAACUCGCUGUGAAGAUGCAGUGUACCGCGGCAAGACGGAAAGACCCGUGAACCUUUACUAUAGCUUGACACUGAACAUUGAGCCUUGAUGUGUAGGAUAGGGUGGGAGGCUUUGAAGCGUGGACGCCAGUCUGCGUGGAGCCAACCUUGAAAUACCACCCUUUAAUGUUUGAUGUUCUAACGUUGGCCCCUGACCGGGGUUGCGGACAGUGUCUGGUGGGUAGUUUGACUGGGGCGGUCUCCUCCCAAAGCGUAACGGAGGAGCACGAAGGUUAGCUAAUCCUGGUCGGACAUCAGGAGGUUAGUGCAAUGGCAUAAGCUAGCUUGACUGCGAGCGUGACGGCGCGAGCAGGUGCGAAGCAGGUCAUAGUGAUCCGGUGGUUCUGAAUGGAAGGGCCAUCGCUCAACGGAUAAAAGGUACUCCGGGGAUAACAGGCUGAUACCGCCAAGAGUUCAUAUCGACGGCGGUGUUUGGCACCUCGAUGUCGGCUCAUCACAUCCUGGGGCUGAAGUAGGUCCCAAGGGUAUGGCUGUUCGCCCAUUUAAAGUGGUACGCGAGCUGGGUUUAGAACGUCGUGAGACAGUUCGGUCCCUAUCUGCCGUGGGCGCUGGAGAAUUGGAGGGGGGCUGCUCCUAGUACGAGAGGACCGGGAGUGGACGCAUCACUGGUGUUCGGGUUGUCAUGCCAAUGGCACUGCCCGGUAGCUAAAUGCGGAAGAGAUAAGUGCUGAAAGCAUCUAAGCACGAAACUUGCCCCGAGAUGAGUUCUCCCUGAGACUAUAAGUCUCCUGAAGGAACGUUAAAGACGAUGACGUUGAUAGGCCGGGUGUGUAAGCGCAGCGAUGCGUUGAGCUAACCGGUACUAAUGAACCGUGAGGCUUAACCUU
rnacentral:rRNA from 1 species